rnacentral:rRNA from 1 species
GAUUUUCAUAAGAGGUCUAGCCUGCCCAGUGACAAAGUUCAACGGCCGCGGUAACCUAACCGUGCAAAGGUAGCAUAAUCACUUGUUCUCUAAAUAGGGACUUGUAUCAAUGGCAUCACGAGGGCUUCACUGUCUCCUUUCUCUAAUCAGUGAAACUGAUCUUCCCGUGAAGAAGCGGGAAUUUUAUUAUAAGACGAGAAGACCCCAUGGAGCUUUAAGCAAUGUAUUUACCUUUUAUUAUUUUAUCCACCUAGCAAAAUACCUAAAUACUAGCUUUAGGUUGGGGGGACCGCGGAGUAAAAACUAACCUCCACGACAAAUAGGGCCACGCCCUUAUCUACGAGCCACAACUCUAAGAAUCAAUAAACUGAUGUUUAAUGACCCAACAAUUUGAUUAACGAACCAAGUUACCCUGGGGAUAACAGCGCAAUCUACUUCAAGAGCCCCUAUCGACAAGUAGGUUUACGACCUCGAUGUUGGAUCAGGGUAUCCUAGUGGUGCAGCCGCUACUAAAGGUUCGUUUGUUCAACGAUUAAAACCCUACGUGAUCUGAGU